rnacentral:lncRNA from 1 species
ACAGAUAGUAACAUUUUUUAUUAAAUAUUACAGUGGAUCAAAAAGUACAAAAUAUCUCUUGCCUGCUAUGUGAUUGGGAAACUAUUGGCACGUAAUACAGUAUCAAAAGCAGUAAUAAGUACAAUUUGGAAAACAUACAAAAUUGAGUGUUUAUAGUUGGCUCAGCAUUCUUCUGGUAGUGUUUAAACUAAUGCAAAGGUUACUCAAUAACCUCUCCAUUGGGAAACUAUAUAAUAUCACUGGGCCAUGUUGCUAUAUACAAAUAAUCACCUUACAGAGCAUAGAGGUUACAUAGCUGGAAUCACCAAAAGUAUACAAUAUUUACAACACAGGAAAGUUUAAAAAAGUAUAAACAGCCAAGAGAUUAUGCUGCUAUUCUUCAGACAUAUUUCAACCAUGAGGAGACAUUUCAAUACAAAUGCACGGCAUGCAUGGCUUUGUUUAAGAGCCGCAGUUUCAUUGUUAUCAGUUUUGAUUAUUUUGCAGUCGAGUUACCUAUUUAGAAGUUGAAAAUUGUCACCAAUUUUCCCAGAAUUAAGUAUCUCAGAGGUAAAAGACUUAGUUAACUAUGGUUCUAAAGUCUACUGGUAGUGUUGCGGGAGGGGCACAGUGGGUUGGGGAGUUCAUCCAAGCGGUCUUCAGCAGGGAUGGGACUUGGGGAGAAAAUCCACUCUCUGUAUCCAUUGACUUUUAAUUAAUACAGUUAGAAAAUGUGUCCACCUUAAUGUUAUAUCUCGGUAGCAAAUGGAAUACAGUGGCAAGAAUGACAACGGACAUUCUCCACAUCUUUUCACUGCCUGAGCAGCUUGACCAUUUACUUCCCACAAUAAAAGAAACCAGAAAGUGGACUGUAUUGCCAGGUGGUUAAAAACAUGACCCAAACCACCUUACAUGUUUCUGUGUGUGUACACACAAAACUCACACCCCAUAAAACCAAAUAGGAUGACUUUUCUUUUGAAAAGGCUAAUCCAGUAUGUCAGUUAUCCCCAAAGAUGUGGCCUGGGAGAUUCUUCUUGGGAAUGACAAGAAACCAACUGGAUGAAAACAACAUGACUACUUAUCACUCAAAAGACCGAGGCUAGAGAAGCUAUCAGGACUGCAGCUGCUCCUCUUCUGGCCAGUUGAGCUCCAUCCUCUUCCCAACCCCCUUUCCCAGACCAUUUAAAGGAAUCAGUGCCAACGCCAAUGUAAAUCAUUUUGGCUCCUGUUCUAAUUUCUGAAAUUCCUAAAAUAUCUGUGCAGCCCACAAAUAUGUCCUCUAGACUCUGUUGUUAUUCGGCAGCUUGCUGCCAGUGAGGUUUUUGUUUUUAUGAUUCUCUGGUAUGUAGGACAGUUUCACAGCCUAGAUAAGGUAAGUACAAUGCUCAAUAUUUUCACAGAACCCAAUACUUCAAAGCAAAGCAUUUGGCUGGGUAAGCAGUGUAUAAGCUCUUUCAACUAUGCCAUUUAUGAGGAACAAAAUCCUUAAGUUGCGGAUCUACAAAGGAACGUUCUUUGCACUAUUGUGUGCUUGACUGUUUCUUUUUCAUUUGUUCCACUAGAAUCAGUUGCUUCAAUUUGUAAACAAUAACUUUACCACCCAAAGCUGCUCAAAAUAAGAUGUGGAAAAAUUACAAACACACAACAACUAGGACAGUCAGUCAGCCUCAAAAACAAAACAAAAACAAAAAGACCUGCAAACAAAAGCAAUACCAUUUAAUAAAAAAAAAAAAAAAAAAAAAAAAAAAGACGAGAAGGAACUGGGAGAAAAUGGAACUACCUGUAUAUAAAUUAGGUGAGCAAACAGUGAUACAGGUAGUUUUAAGAAGCAAAUAUAUACAGUCAAUUUAACAGUGUUUACUUCUCUGGAUUGUUUAAUAGUGUCAAAAUGAAAGAUCUAUUGAAGUUUCACUAUACAUUGCAUUGAUUGAACCUUGGAGAGUUUUAUGAAAAAGAGGGGCAUCCCUUGCCAUCUGUUUGCCAGUCUUCCUUGCCCCUUCCUUUGAAAUGCCUGCCUCUUUUUUGCCCAGAUUGUUUCCUGACCAUCCGAACUCAGAUGGGGUCCUCUAAGUUCUUCCUGGAUAUUCACAAAUCCCUUCACAAGGCCCACGUGCGAAGUGAAUGAUCUGGAGGUGCCUGGGCAUCUGUGUUGGAAGGGAGUCAAGACUCACCAGCCAGUCAGUUUGUGGGCUAGAGUUGUCCCACAAAAAUCAGGCAUGUUCACCUCCCCUCUGGGCCCCUACAGCUGGGACUGAUCAUAGCCUCAGAUUAGAAGAAAUACUGACUUCUAACUCUAUAAGCCAGCACUCCUGGGUAAGGAGUGAAGCUCUGUUGGCCAUGCCGCUUUGGACUGCUGGGCAGAGCUGAGCCUACAGUUUUGUACUGGGGUGCACGGAUGACAGCUGGGAAGAUGGAAAGGCAGCUUGAGGAUUUAUAGCAGCUAAAGGGUAAAUGCUGUUAUGCAAAAGGUCCCCAUAUGAACUUCCUACAGGUGUAGCCGCAGCCAAGUGUCUGUACAGCUGCUGAGAAUUUGUCGGUGAUGUAAAAAUUCCUCUUUGCAUCACAAGCGAGUGGAAAGCCAGGGGCUGCAUGAGUGGAGAAAGCACAGUCUGGUUUUUCAAGUACUGCAGAGAAUG